rnacentral:rRNA from 1 species
CAGAGACUGCAAGCGUUAUUCGGAUUCACUGGGCGUAAAGGGUGCGCAGGCGGCCAAGUGUGUGAGGCGUGAAAGCCUGGAGCUUAACUCCAGAAUUGCACCUCAAACUACAUGGCUAGAGCAUUGGAGAGGGUAGCGGAAUUCACGGUGUAGCAGUGAAAUGCGUAGAUAUCGUGAGGAACACCAGAGGCGAAGGCGGCUACCUGGACAAUUGCUGACGCUCAGGCACGAAAGCGUGGGGAGCAAAAGGGAUUAGAUACCCCUGUAGUCCACGCCCUAAACGGUGCACACUAGGUCUUGGCGGAUUCGACCCCACCAGGGCCCAAGCUAACGCGUUAAGUGUGCCGCCUGAGGACUACGGCCGCAAGGCUA